rnacentral:rRNA from 1 species
AUUGAACGCUGGCGGCAGGCCUAACACAUGCAAGUCGAGCGGAUGAAGGGAGCUUGCUCCUGGAUUCAGCGGCGGACGGGUGAGUAAUGCCUAGGAAUCUGCCUGGUAGUGGGGGAUAACGUCCGGAAACGGGCGCUAAUACCGCAUACGUCCUGAGGGAGAAAGUGGGGGAUCUUCGGACCUCACGCUAUCAGAUGAGCCUAGGUCGGAUUAGCUAGUUGGUGGGGUAAAGGCCUACCAAGGCGACGAUCCGUAACUGGUCUGAGAGGAUGAUCAGUCACACUGGAACUGAGAACCGGUCCAGACUCCUACGGGAGGCAGCAGUGGGGAAUAUUGGACAAUGGGCGAAAGCCUGAUCCAGCCAUGCGGCGUGUGUGAAGAAGGUCUUCGGAUUGUAAAGCACUUUAAGUUGGGAGGAAGGGCAGUAAGUUAAUACCUUGCUGUUUGGACGUUACCAACAGAAUAAGCACCGGCUAACUUCGU